GGUGGCCCUCCGGGUGUCACCUUCUGGUGGUGGCCCUCCGGGUGUCACCUUCUGGUGGUGGCCCUCCAGGUUUCACCUUCUGGUGGUGGUCCCCCAGGUGUCACCUCCUAGUGGUGGCCCUCUGGGUGUCACAUCCUAGUGGUAGUCCUCCAGGUGGUCCUCCAGGUGUCACCCCCUUGUGGUGGCUCUCUGGAUGUCACCUUCUAGUGGUGGCCCUCCGGGAUGUCCUGGUGGUCCUUGAGUUCCUUCCUGGUGGGCGGGAGUUGGGUCCUCCUGUUUUGUCCCCAUGGUUCUCUUGGUGGCAGGUGGUUCCCUCACGGUGUCCCCAAGUUCUUCAGGUCCUUCAUGGUGUCCCCGUGGUGUCCCCGUGUCCCUCAGGUCCCUCAUGGUGUCACUGUGGUGUCUCCAUGUUUUUCAGGACCUUCAUGGUGUUCCCAUGGUGUCCAUCAGGUCCCUCCUGGUGUCCCCAUGUCCUUUAGGUCCUUCAUGGUGUCCCAGUGAUGUCCCCAUGUCCCUCAGCUCCCUCCUUGUGUCGCCAUAUCCUUCAGGUCCUUCAUGGUGUCCCCACGAUCUCCUUCAGGUCCCCUGUGGUGUCCCCAUGGUGUCCCCAUGUCCCUUAGAUCCUUCAUGGUGUCCCCACGGUGUCCCCUGUGGUGUCCCCACAUCUUUCGGGUCCCCCAUGGUGUCCCUGUGGUGUCCCCAUGUCCUUUGUGCUCUCCAUGGUGUCCCCCCCAUGGAGACACCAGAAUGUCACAGGGAUCCACGUGUCCCCCUCAGUGUCCCCAUGUCCCCAGUGCCAUCAAUGCGGCGUCUGUGUGUCCCCCCUCCCACACUGAGGUCCCUUGUCCUCUCCCUGUCACCCCACAGGUGA
rnacentral:lncRNA from 1 species